rnacentral:lncRNA from 1 species
GGCACUGUUGUCUGAGACAUAAGAAAUAAAAAUACAACACCUAACUGAACAUAUGAAACAAGCAUACAACUACCCAGUGAACAUAUCUCAUGUUACAUGUGUAGAUGGAGCUGAAACCACCACUACAGCCUCCCUGCACCAUGUAUAGGUCCCAAAAGUACUCCGAAGUUGGAAGUGAGCCUUUUGAUUCCCUAGCAGGAGACCAUAUUUCUAAAGACGAUCCUGAUACUCAUACAACAUCAUUCCCGU